GAUGAACGCUGGCGGCGUGCCUAAUACAUGCAAGUCGAGCGAACGGACGAGAAGCUUGCUUCUCUGAUGUUAGCGGCGGACGGGUGAGUAACACGUGGAUAACCUACCUAUAAGACUGGGAUAACUUCGGGAAACCGUAGCUAAUACCGGAUAAUAUUUUGAACCGCAUGGUUCAAAAGUGAAAGACGGUCUUGCUGUCACUUAUAGAUGGAUCCGCGCUGCAUUAGCUAGUUGGUAAGGUAACGGCUUACCAAGGCAACGAUGCAUAGCCGACCUGAGAGGGUGAUCGGCCACACUGGAACUGAGACACGGUCCAGACUCCUACGGGAGGCAGCAGUAGGGAAUCUUCCGCAAUGGGCGAAAGCCUGACGGAGCAACGCCGCGUGAGUGAUGAAGGUCUUCGGAUCGUAAAACUCUGUUAUUAGGGAAGAACUUAUGUGUAAGUAACUGUGCACAUCUUGACGGUACCUAAUCAGAAAGCCACGGCUAACUACGUG
rnacentral:rRNA from 1 species